UGAUAAAUGACCACUAUGGGUUCAUGGUGGUUUAAUCGUCCAACACAUUUUGUUUGUAAGAAUUAAAACGUUACAUUUGAUAAUAGUGCCAAGGGUAGGGGAAGAGUUGCACCUGACUCUGACCCUGACCCCAUUGCCAUUUUCCCUGAUCGCGAUCGGCGAAGCUUCAUUUUGCGAAGGAGUGGAAACUAUAUAAUUCGAAUAGGUUAGGUAGGUAGGUUUCGGACGUUUCUCGCUGUGAAUUGUUGAUGAGUUAAUUCAGUAUAUAUCGCUCGUUUGGUCCUCAAUUUUCGAGCGUUCGUUUUUUUUUUUUUUUGUUAUUGGGAAAUUCGUUAAACCCUGUGCGGACUCUUGAUCGAGCUGAAUUGGAUUCGGGCAGGGUUUGUGAAUUCAUUGCAAAAUGGGGGUUAUGUCCAGGCGGGUUGUGCCCGUCUGUGGUAACCUCUGUGUGUUUUGUCCUUCUCUGCGUGCAAGAUCAAGGCAACCGGUGAAACGUUACAAGAAGUUGAUGGCUGAAAUAUUCCCGCGUAAUCAGGUUGCUGAGCCUAACGACAGGAAAAUUGGAAAACUAUGUGAGUAUGCUUCUAGGAAUCCAUUGAGAAUUCCUAAGAUUACUGAAAACUUGGAGCAAAGAUGUUAUAAGGAUUUGCGUCAUGAAAACUUUGGUUCGGUGAAAGUGGUCUUGUGCAUAUAUGAGAAACUGUUAUCGACAUGUAAGGAGCAGAUGCCGCUGUUUGCCAAUAGCUUAUUAGGGAUCCUUCAAACGCUUCUAGAGCAAACUCGUUCAGAGGAAAUGCAGAUCUUAGGUUGCAAGACUCUUGUAGAAUUUACAAAUUGCCAGACAAAUGGUACAUACAUGUUCAACUUAGAGGGUUUUAUACCAAAACUAUGUCAAUUGGCUCAAGAAGCGGGAGAUAAUGAACAAGCUCUGCUUCUACGAUCAGCUGGCCUACAAGCACUAUCCUACAUGGUGCAGUUCAUGGGAGAGCACUCACAUCUUUCCACGGAUUUUGACCAAAUUAUAUCAGUGAUUUUGGAAAAUUUCCCGGAUCCCCAAUCCAAAUCCAAUCUUGCCGAAGUAGAGAAAUUGAAUUCACAAUCUCAGAGCCAUCUGGUCCAACAAUUUCCCAAAGGAGGAGACCUACGUUCUUUAUCAGCUAUCAGUAAGAAGGAUGCUUCCUUACUUAAUGGUGUGACAGGAACUGAGACAGAACCCAAGUUAGAUACUGCUAAAGAUCCUGCUUAUUGGUCAAAGAUUUGCCUGUAUAAUAUGGCCAAAUUGGCCAAGGAAGCCACAACUGUGCGCCGUGUCCUUGAACCAUUUUUUCAUAAUUUUGAUGCUGAAAACUACUGGUCUUCUGAAAAGGGAGUUGCUUCUUGUAUUUUGCAGUAUUUGCAAUCCCUUCUAGCAGAAUCAGGUGAUAACUCCCAUCUUCUGUUGUCCAUUUUGGUCAAGCACUUGGAUCAUAAAAAUGUUGCUAAGCAGCAUAUCCUUCAGAUUGAUAUCAUUAAAACCACCACGCAGCUUGCACAAAAUGUGAAGUAUCAGGCUUCAGUUGCAAUCAUUGGUGCAAUAUCUGAUCUCAUUAAACAUUUUAGGAGAUGCCUGCAAAAUUUAGCUGAAGCAUCCAGCACUGGAGAUGGUACAUAUAGGUUGAAUACUGAACUUCAGUCCGUCUUAGAAAUGUGUAUAUUACAACUUUCAAAGAAGGUUGGGGAUAAAGGACCAAUUCUUGAUUUGAUGGCUGUGGCAUUGGAGAAUAUCCCAGUUACUACCGUAACAGCAAGAUCGACAAUCUCUGCUGUCUAUCAAAUAGCAAAAUUAGUCACUUCCGUUCCAAAUGUGUCAUAUCGCAAUAAGGCUUUCCCUGAUGCCUUGUUUCAUCAAUUGCUCCUGGUCAUGGUUCAUCCUGACUACGAAACACAAAUUGGAGCACAUAGGAUCUUCUCUUUGGUGCUUACACCAUCCAUGGUUUCUCCUUGGUUGGACCACAAAAUAAUGACUGCUCAUACUGGAGAUGAAAACUUUAAUGGAAAACUUGAAGAAGAAAAGACAAUAUCUAGUGUCAAAUCGAAGAAAUAUGCAAUUCAUCCAUAUAGGGGCUACAGCUUUUCUCCCAAGCUAACUAAUGGAAACGACGAUAAAAGUUCUCUUAGGCUAAGCAGUCAUCAAGUCAGUCUUCUGCUUUCUUCAAUCUGGGUUCAGGCAACAUCUGUGGGAAAUGGCCCUUCAAAUUAUGAGGCAAUGGCACACGCCUAUACCAUUGCUUUAUUAUUUACUUGUUCUAAGGCAUCCAGUCACACGGGUUUAGCAAGAUCUUUUCAACUGGCAUUUUCCCUCAGGAGGAUCUCUUUGGACCAACAAGGAGGCUUACAACCAUCUCGUAGGAGGUCCCUUUUUACCUUGGCUUCAUAUAUGCUUAUCUUCUCUGCCAGGGCUGGCAGUCUCCAUGAUCUAAUUCCAAUAGUUAAAGCUUCUCUGACCAAAGAAACAGUAGAUCCUUUUCUUGAAUUGGUUGAUGAUAUCCGACUGCUGGCUGUCCGUAAAGAAUCGGAGAAUAUAAUUUAUGGAUCUCAGGAAGAUGAGGCGGCUGCUGUGAAGUCUCUUUCAGCUGUAGAAUUGGAUGACAAGCAGUUGAAAGAGAUUGUAAUAUCGUACUUUAUGACUAAAUAUUCAAAAUUGCCAGAGGAUGAACUGUCUAGCAUAAAGAAUCAACUUGUACAGGGAUUUUCCCCCGAUGAUGCAUAUCCAUUAGGACCUCUGUCAUUUAUGGAGACAUCAAGACCAUGUUCUCCUCUUCAUAUGAUUGAAUUCCCAAGUUUUGACGAGAUAAUGAUUCCGGAUGAUUUCACGGAGAUAGAGACUGGACAUAGUGGCAGCCAGUCAGAUCGCAAAACAUCACUGUCAACCAACCACCCCGAUGUUCUAAAUGUUGAUCAACUAUUAGAUUCGGUUUUGGAAACUGCACGGCAGGUUGCAAGUUUCUCCACUUCCUCAACUCCUCUACCUUAUGACCAAAUGAAGGACCAGUGCGAGGCACUUGAAGCAGGGAAACAACAGAAGAUGUCCGUCAUUCAGAGUUUCAAGCAUCAACAAGAGAGUAACGCCAUAGUUCUUUCUAGUGAAAAUGAAGUUACAGUUGCCCCUAUACAUGCUAAGGCACUGGAAUAUUCAAAAAGUGAUUUGAAGUUAGUAACUCAGGAAACAUUUAAAGAACAGGAUGGAGCACGCGACCAUUACGAUGACUAUGGGCUGCAACAUUCUUUGAGGCUACCUCCUUCGAGCCCCUAUGAUAAAUUCUUGAGAGCUGCGGGAUGCUAAUGACACUAACCUGCAAUAGAUGCCAUUUUUUCAUUCUUUGCAAUGCUGGUAAAAUGUUUCUUUAGAUGGUUUCUACCAUUCAUGCCCCAAGUACGUGAAAUAUGCAGGAGAGUAAAUUUUUUCUUUUGUUGGGAGAGUGUGGACCAAAUGCUAGAAGCUCCUAAUGAUUCAUGAGUUGUGAAGAAUGAUUUCCUGUGCGGCUGCUCCGCUUUAUCUCUGCCAAAUUCCAGUCAAAGCAUGCUCUGGGCGUAUUACCAUACGUAUAUUUUAUUUUUAAUUUUUCUUGCAUAUAUUAAUAUCAAAUAUGUAUACUAUUUCACGUGGAACACGUACACGCUUCAUUGUUAUUCUGUAUGGGUGAAAACUUUAAUAGAUGUGAAUGUGAUAACGUGAUGGAUAAUAAAGCGAUACACGAAAAUGAGAUGGAAAGAAAAAUUUAAUACAUGAUGAUAACUAUUUAA